UACAGAGGUCUCAAGCGUUGUUCGGAUUCAUUGGGCGUAAAGGGUGCGUAGGCGGCGCGGCAAGUCGGGUGUGAAAUCUCGGAGCUUAACUCCGAAACUGCAUUCGAUACUGCCGUGCUUGAGGACUGGAGAGGAGACUGGAAUUUACGGUGUAGCGGUGAAAUGCGUAGAUAUCGGAAGGAAGACCAGUGGCGAAGGCGGGUCUCUGGACAGUUCCUGACGCUGAGGCACGAAGGCCAGGGGAGCAAACGGG
rnacentral:rRNA from 1 species